GGUAUCACGGAGCGUUCGUGGAGGAGUGGCCCCGAAGCGUGCGGCGGUUGGAUGCUUGCUGGCGGCGUCGGGGCAGACAUGCGGCCAGGGUUUAUUUUUCACUUAGGUUUUCUUUAGUUACUGGGUUAGGGACUAUUUUGGGCUGUUUUUUAUGUUCGGGCCUGGGUCAUUGGGUCCUAUUACAAGGUUGUCAUCAAUCGUGAGUUGAUAUUGAGUUUACUUGUGACACCAACUCAAUUAACAAUAUUAUUAAUAUAU
rnacentral:lncRNA from 1 species